rnacentral:rRNA from 1 species
UACGGAGGGUGCAAGCGUUAUCCGGAUUUACUGGGUUUAAAGGGUGCGUAGGUGGAUAAUUAAGUCAGUGGUGAAAUCUUCAGGCUUAACCUGGAAACUGCCAUUGAUACUAUUUAUCUUGAAUACUUUGGAGGUAAGCGGAAUAUGUCAUGUAGCGGUGAAAUGCUUAGAUAUGACAUAGAACACCAAUUGCGAAGGCAGCUUACUACACAGUAAUUGACGCUGAGGCACGAAAGCGUGGGGAUCAAACAGG